GUGUGGCCAGAUUUGGCAUAUUGGGAGCAUCGACAGCGACACUAGUAACGACGAAUUUCUUUUAGUGCUCAGCGGAGUGGUGGGGAAAGCAGGCACAUACUACUGCACAAGUCGCGUGAACCGCGUGAACGUGAGCUCGAUACUUCGGAGAAUCGAGAAAGAAGGCGAGUGUGCCUCUCCUUCUCACUCUUGCAACAGUUGAAAUCCGAAAUCCGUCCUCGCGACAAUCGUAUGCCGUUGACGCGGGGUCGGAUUUUAGCACUAUCGAGAGCAAGAAGGAAAAUGAAUGUGAACCUUUCUCUUUGACUCCUUCAAGACGAUGAGAAGUGCAUCUGCGUUCACUUCGGGCAGGUUCGGAGAAGUGGAAAAGGGGGGUGCGUUCAGUUUGAACGCCCACGCGCUUUAAGCGCUUGCAAGCAUCACUUAUGUUUUCGAUUUGGCGCUGAAAGCGAUAAGAAAAAUAAUGACGUAUACACUACGUCAUAACUUGCAGCUCGUACAGUAUUUCUUCGCUGGGAAAACUGCGCGAUCCACAGUGUUUUAAAACUAGGCGAGAGUGGAUCGGAAUUUGACAUCAUUUUUUCAGAAGGGUAUUUUCAAAUGUGAUAAGGGAUGGAGGAUGGAGGAGAGCACUAGCAUUGUUCGCGUUCUGACUCUUCCGAUACAAUUUCCAGGUUAGGCACCCACACAUAACAUAUGUUGCAAAUUAAAAAUAAAUGAAACCUGAGUUUUUAGGUUUAAAAUAAUAUGUAUUGGACAAAAUAUAAUAACAUUUUGUUAUAUAACAAUAUUAUUGCACAAAUUACUGGCAAGCGUAGGCAUAAUUUUUUUUUCAAUUUACUUUCCUUGCUUUUAAAUUAUAAAACUUGUUAACAAUUAUAUCAGUCUCUACUCUAUUAGUUUGUAUGGAAUGCUACACCGAAAUAUGAUAACUAUGAAUUCUUUAGUAAUUUUUUAAAUUAUUCAAUGGUUCUGCUCCCCAUUGACUCCAUAGAGUUUAUCGUUUGCUCUCACGUAAAUUUAGCUCUAACUGUAAAAUUAAAAUGUCGUGUGGCUGCUGUUAAUUCUUAUUAUGUAAAAUUCGCCAUGUUUCUAUCAUACGUAUUAAAAUUUAUUCUUAAAAUGCAAUAAAACACUUUUAAUCAAUAAUCAGUUCAAUCCAUAAAUUGAUUAACUAUUUUAAACUUCACAUAUUGCGAAAUUAUUGACAAAGCAUUGUUACAUCAUAGCGACUUAUGCGUGCCGUUCUACGUAAUUUAUUCUUAAAAUGCAAUGAUAGAAUAAUAGUUUCCUGAAAUCAUAAUCUACUACAAAAUUUUCAUAUUGCAGAGCUUUUGAUAGAAUAGAAUAUUGUUCUUAUUUGAUAGGCACUUGUGUUUAGGUUACAUACUUCGAAAUUUAAGCUUGUCGAGAAGCGAGAAGGGAAUUUUCUUUUGCGUACCAUAUUUCCCUCAAACGUGUAGAAUCAUGUGCGAUUCCCACCAACAUUCAACAGAUAUUUACGUUAAAUUCAAGACAUAGCGAAUACGAGUAAAGCAUUCUCUUUGGCGUGACUUGUGAAUGUCUAGAACAAUGUUAAAAUUUUUCUGUUGAGCAUAAUCAUAGCGUCUUUGAAUAUUAUGUAGUGGAACUAAUAUUAAUGAAUCUGGUGAUAGCUGCGCAACGUAGAUGCGCAGAGAUAUUUAUUCUACAAAUACCACUGUUGCAAUCAUAUGAUUCAGUUUGCCCGCGUUCUAUGUUUAACUUAAACAGAGUAUGUUUUAAAUUUUUACUAACGAAUGACCAUAAAAACCAAAACCUCUAUAGAUUUAUUGUUUACAAAGGAAUGGUUAUCUGUAGUCAAGAACCCGGUGUCAUCUCAUGAUAUUGGAUGUAAAUUGAAUAUGGUUAUUAUACGAAAUAUAUUUUAUAAUUAUAAGAUUUAUAUAAUUUUAUAAAUCUUAGAGUUAAUAAAAAUGUAUAUAUGUAUAUAGAUAUUCGUGACAUUUAUCAAACCUUUUACAGAUGCAAAACUGGUACAUACCAUUAAAUGUUGCUGUCUAUUCCAUCAGAAUACUUUUUUAUUGUGAAUUAAUAAUGCAAAUUGUAAUUUAUUAUUUUACAUUAUUUACUGUUAUUAUAAAUUAACCGAUUACUUAACAUUAUUAAUCCUAAUUUUUGACUUUAUCUGGUGGACUAAGAUCAUAUUUGAUACCAAGGGGCGAUAUCAGGUUCUCGAGUUUUUACGUUUAAUUAAGCUAUCAUUACAUUGAUGAAGAUGUAGAUGAAAUUAAUAAUGCUUAAUAAAAUGUAUAGAAAAUAUUUGAAAAUGCUCCU